UACAGAGGGGGCCAGCGUUGUUCGGAAUUACUGGGCGUAAAGGGCGCGUAGGCGGCCUGCUAAGUCGAACGUGAAAUCCCUGGGCUCAACCCAGGAACUGCGUCCGAUACUGGUUGGCUUGAAUCCGGGAGAGGGAUGUGGAAUUCCAGGUGUAGCGGUGAAAUGCGUAGAUAUCUGGAGGAACACCGGUGGCGAAGGCGACAUCCUGGACCGGUAUUGACGCUGAGGCGCGAAAGCCAGGGGAGCAAACAGG
rnacentral:rRNA from 1 species